CGUACUUAAUCUACCCCCUAGUUUGGGAUAACAUUUGGAAACACUUGCUAAUACCAAAUACAUAUAAGUUUUGCAUACUUCUUAUAUAAACGGAGCGUUUGUUUCGCUAGGGGAUGAGGGUGCGCUACAUUAGUUACUUGGUAGGGUAAGAGCCUACCAAGACUAUGAUGUAUAGCGGGGCUGAGAAGCUGAACCGCCACACUGGGACAGAGAUACGGCCCAGACUCCUACGGGAGGCAGCAGUAGGGAAUAUUCCACAAUGAGCGAAAGCUUGAUGGAGCAACACAGCGUGCAGGAAGACGACCUUAGGGUUGCAAACUGCUGUUAUGAGGGAAGAAAAAUAAAAUUAGGAAAUGAAUUUUACAUGACGGUACCUCAUCAGAAAGCACCGGCAAACUAUGUGCCAGCAGCCGCGGUAAUACAUAGGGUGCACGCGUUAUCCGGAAUUAUUGGGCGUAAAGUGUCUGUAGGUGGUAUGUUAAGUCUAGUGUUAAAGACUAGGGCCCAACCCUAGCACGCUCUAGAUACUGACAUGCUAGAGUCAUAGAGAGGUUAGCGGAACUCCUAGUGGAGCG
rnacentral:rRNA from 1 species